ACACACACACACAGGGGAAACCUGGGAGCCACCGAUGAAGCUAAGAAAACUACCUCAGGAAUAUUUUCUGUGCUUCUCAUUCGCUCACUUUCCAGAUGAUGGGCCGAGCAGAACACUAGCCAUUUCAACAUACAACUGGCUGGCUCAAAGGUGCUUCUGCUGCUCUGGUGUGCUUUAGGGGUUGGUGGGGAGAAGAUGGGCAUCUUGAAGGAAAGAAGAAGCUCACCUUUGACCAGCACAGUCAGCCUCUGGUGUGCAAAUGCCAGAAGGGAAAGGAGAAUUUUACUGUCUCACCACCCUUAAGAAACCAAGAACCAGGAUGGACUCGCCAUGCAUUUCUCUGCCCGACAGUGGCGACAGCUGAGCCCGCAUAGCUUCUGGCACAUGCCAGGCAACCGAGAGGCUGCAGAACUCCCUGGGCAGAGGGGCCUUUCGCAGAAAGGAUACAUCACGCCUGCAUAAGUCCUGACAAGAACAUUCUGGGAAAAUAGGAGGCUGUCUCCAAAUUGUGCAGGAGAGGACACCUGUUCCUCAAAGUUUCAGAGAGAAAUAUUAGCUGUGCUGUGAUCAACCACCGUCUUUCAGAUGAUCUGGCAAAAGAAAGAGAGAGGAAGAGAGUGUAUGUGUAUGGAGAGAGACGGGGGAGAGGAAGAGGAAGCAGGAGGAUGAACGUGGGUGAAGGGUACACAGCUCUUCUUUCAGUGCCUCACAAGGACAUGGGCUCCACGAUAACAAGGCCCUUUAGCGUCUGUCCGCUGCAUCGUCUCCAGAGCCUGGCAGACCCGGCACUCUGCCCACUUCUGCUGAAUGACAGAAGGCAUGAACAUACGCAUCCCAUCUGACGGUGCACGGCGCAAGGGGAGACGCAGGGAAGGAUUCCACACCGUGGAGGGCACGGCCCUGCCUGCAAGGAAAACCGCAGUUCAGCAGAAAAGGCGCCAUGCAACCCGCUCAGGACGUUGUGAAAUGAACAGAGGGCAAAGAGACUUCAGUGGAAUCUGAGGGUUGCACAUUUACAGAAACCUAGUUCUGAAGUCACCUCUUGAGAAACCAACAAAAAGUGCCUUUAACAAAGGAGACGUCUUAAGGAGAGACGAACUCCCGGACAAUGGCGACGGCGUGCAGCUGGGCCUGACAGGUGCGGAGACGGCGGUGCCUGGGCGGAGGGCGCACGGAGGAUGACUUCUCAGAAACAGUUGGAAAGGCCAGGACCUGAUCACCAGCUGAUGAAUGAGUAAUCGUGACGUCCCUGUCCAUACAAAGGAGUGCCACUCAGCCAUGACAAGGAAGUGCUGACUUAAGCCACAACAAGGGUGAGCUUGGGAAACACGAUGCCACAUGAGUUACACCAGGCAGAAAAGACCACAGAGUGUAUGAUUCCAUGUCUAUGAAAUGGCCGGAGCAGGCAAAUCAUAGAGACAGAAAGUAGAUUAGCAGUUACCCAGGGGUUGCUUAGGAUCUAAUUAGGGGUUAUUGGGGUGAGGGGGAAAUGGGAAGUGACUGCUUAAUGGAUAGAGGGUAUCCUUUUGGGGUGAGAAAAAUAUUCAGGAAUGAGAUAGGCGUGAUGGUUGCACAACUUUGUGAAUAGACUAAAGCCCACUGGCUUGUGCACUCUAAAAUGAUGAAUUUCGUGGCAUGUGAAUUCCACCUCAACUUUUUAAAGGCCAGGGGCAGCCUUUGCAUUAAUCACAACCUAACAUCCUCCAGUCCCAACUUGACUCCUACUUUAGAACAGGUGCUUUGGGGCAGGGACUGUGUUCCGUCCUGUUGCAUCCCUGAGGGCUAAUAACACACUUGUUGAAUUCACGCAAAAAUUAAUGGCAACAUAUUCAAACUUAUUGCUCCUCAGAGAUAGGCCACAAGUUUUUAAGCAAACUCGUAGUGGAUAGUAGAUGUUUGGAGGCCAGAAAGAGGCAGCACCAGACUGAGGGGACUCCGGAUACAGAGGGCCAGGGUCAAGGCCCCCCCAGGCACCAAACUAGCCUCAUGCACAUUAACGGACCUCUCCGCGUGUCAGUUUGCUCAUCUGUCCAGGGAGAACUCUAGAACCUUGGGAUUGCUCGGAGGAGUAAAUGACUUAGAAGACGUGAAGUGCGGAGCCUGUAUUCACAUUCAGGCCCACUCCAGGGGCUGAAUUUGUAAAACUAUGCUCUGCUGCCUCUCUGCUUGCUGUUAGAACUGUGCCUGGGACACAGUAACUGCUAUACGUGUUGCAGAAGAAAAAAGUCAAAUGUCAAAGUCUUAUUAGAAAAAUACUGGAAGAAAAUAAUAAUGAGAGCUACAGAGAGCACCACCAAUACAAAAUAAUCCAUAAGCUUAAUCUCACAUAUAUAUGUAUAUAGUACAUAAUAUGUAAUAUAUUGUAUGUAUAUGCACAUGUAUAUUAUAUGUAUAUGUGUACCUAUAUAAGAUAUAAUAUAUAUAUACAUAUUAGAAAUGGGGUCUGAUGGUUAGAAUCUGUGUCCCCACCCAAAUCUCCUGUUAAAUUGUAAUCCCCAGUGUUGGAGGUGGGGCCUGGUAGGAGGUGAUUGGAUCACGGGGGUGGUUUCUAACAAUUUAGCUCCAUCCCCCAGUGUUGUCUCGUGAUGGGGUUCUCAGGAGAUCUGGCUGUUUAAAAGUGUGUGGCACCUCCAGCCUUGAGCUCUUCCUCCUGACCCAGACACGUAAGACGCGCGCCUACUUCCCCUUCGCCUUCCGCUGUGAUUGAAAGUUUCCUGAGGCAUUCCCUGGCUGUGAUUCUUGUACAGCCUGAGGAACUGGAGCCAAUUAAACCUGUUUUCUUUAUAAAUUA